AGAGUUUGAUCCUGGCUCAGAAGGAACGCUGGCAGCGUGCAUAACACAUGCAAGUCGAACGCGAAAGAAUCCUUCGGGAUUUGGACGAGUGGCGAACGGGUGAGGAACACGUAAGAAUCUACCUUUCGGUUGGGGAUAACUUCUGGAAACGGGAGCUAAUACCCAAUAUGCUGUGGAGUGAAAGAAUUUCGCCGAGAGACGAUCUUGCGUCUGAUUAGCUUGUUGGGGUGGUAAUGGCACACCAAGGCGACGAUCAGUAGCUGGUCUGAGAGGAUGGACAGCCACAUUGGGACUGAGACACGGCCCAGACUCCUACGGGAGGCAGCAGUGGGGAAUUUUCCGCAAUGGACGAAAGUCUGACGGAGCGACGCUGCGUGAAGGAUGAAGGCCCGUGGGUUGUAAACUUCUUUUCUCGAAGAAGAAAAAAAUGACGGUAUUCGAGGAAUAAGCAUCGGCUAACUCUGUGCCAGCAGCCGCGGUAAGACAGAGGAUGCAAGUGUUAUUCGGAAUGAUUGGGCGUAAAGAGUCUGUAGGCGGUUUAGAAAGUCUUUUGUGAAAUACUUCAGCUCAACUGAGGCUCCGCAAAAGAAACUUCUAGACUUGAGGAAAGUAGAGGUACAGGGAAUUUCCGGUGGAGCGGUGAAAUGCGUAGAUAUCGGAAGGAACACCAAUAUGGCGAAGGCACUGUACUGGGCUUUUCCUGACGCUCAGAGACGAAAGCUGAAGGAGUGAUUAGGAUUAGAUACCCUAGUAAUUUCAGCCGUAAACGAUGAAAACUCACUGUCGAGCCAAUAUAUGGAGCGGUGGUCAAGCUAACGCGUGAAGUUUUCCGCCUGGGGAUUA
rnacentral:rRNA from 1 species